rnacentral:rRNA from 1 species
UACGUAGGGUGCGAGCGUUGUCCGGAAUUACUGGGCGUAAAGGGCUCGUAGGCGGCCAACUAAGUCAGACGUGAAAUCCCCAGGCUCAACCUGGGAACUGCGUCUGAUACUGGAUGGCUUGAAUCCGGGAGAGGGAUGCAGAAUUCCAGGUGUAGCGGUGAAAUGCGUAGAUAUCUGGAGGAAUACCGGUGGCGAAGGCGGCAUCCUGGACCGGCAUUGACGCUGAGGAGCGAAAGCUAGGGGAGCAAACGGG